rnacentral:rRNA from 1 species
AUUGAAGGCUGGCGGCAUGCCUUACACAUGCAAGUCGAACGGCAGCACGGGGGCAACCCUGGUGGCGAGUGGCGAACGGGUGAGUAAUGCAUCGGAACGUGCCCAGUAGUGGGGGACAACCAGUCGAAAGAUUGGCUAAUACCGCAUACGACCUAUGGGUGAAAGCGGGGGACCGUAAGGCCUCGCGCUAUUGGAGCGGCCGAUGUCUGAUUAGCUAGUUGGUGAGGUAAGGGCUCACCAAGGCGACGAUCAGUAGCUGGUCUGAGAGGACGACCAGCCACACUGGGACUGAGACACGGCCCAGACUCCUACGGGAGGCAGCAGUGGGGAAUUUUGGACAAUGGGCGCAAGCCUGAUCCAGCCAUGCCGCGUGCGGGAAGAAGGCCUUCGGGUUGUAAACCGCUUUUGGCAGGAACGAAACGGCGACUCUUAAUACGGGUCGUUAAUGACGGUACCUGCAGAAUAAGCACCGGCUAACUACGUGCCAGCCGCCGCCGCAGUAAAAC